UGAAGUCAGACGCUUAACCGACUGAGCCACCCAGGCGCCCCCAAAGUUUUACAGUCUUACAAGAAGAAGCUAUUUGCUCAUUUGACUAAUUUUGGUCUCUUGUUUCUCAGUUAUUUCAGGCCUGGACAGAAGGAAGCAUGCAGUUUAUGGGGAGUCUGUGUCUCUAGUCACUAUAAAGCUGUUUCAAAACACUUGCCGGUAUCAGUGAUUUCAUGGAAUCCUCACCUCCUUCUCGUGAGGGAGGCGGAGCAGGGUUUAUUAUCACCGUGGUACAGCUGGAGACACUGAGGGUCCGAGGGGCCAUGUGACUCAGCCCAGGUCACGGGACUAAGAAGCAGCUGAGCUGGAACUCAGGCUGGGUCUCCUGACGGUGACGAAACGGAAGCCCUGAGAAGUUUAAUGUCGUAUGGGAUUGCUGCAGAGCUGGGACUUGCACCCGGGCCUCUGGGUUCUAACGUCAAUGAGCUUCACUGUGGCGUUGUACUGCAUGGAGAAGAUCCUGGAAAGGCUUGCAACAAUUUCCAAAGCGGGGAAGGAGUCCUCCUGUUAGAGCAGGUUGGAAACCACUGAGCCGGGCUGUGGAGGCAGCAUGUUAUACCCCCUCAGCAGAGACGGAGUCAUGAGACCUGAGACCCGCACAUCUUUAUUGGAGCGUCUAAUACAAACACCGAGAUGAGCCGGUCAAAACCAACCCCAUGGCGCACCACCGCUAAGUUUCCUCCAGCUUGAUCUGCAUUCCUUGGAUUGAAAGUGUAACCGACUUAGAGCAAAGUGCAGUACGCUUUAAUGUACAGCUUGGUGAAUUUUUACAUAUGUAUGUACCUGUGUAAUCUCCACCCAGAUCAGGAUACAGAACAUUUCCAGCACCCUGCAAGGUUCCCUCGUGCUCCCUCCUGGUCUAUUCUCCUCCCCAGAGCCCUAUAAAGAAUGUUGCAGAACAGCAUUUCCUGUAUGAUGCUCCACGGACCCAAGCCUCAAGAAGAUUCCUCAAGGGAUUUCAUAGUGAAAUAUGUUUAGGAAAUGCCAGUCUCCUCUUGAUGAUUCACAAUGUACAUUAGUAAAUUAAAGACUCUGAGAAAUUCUCCAGGAAAGAAGCCCAUUUCAGUUGGCAUAAGUCAGUACAUCCCAAACAGGUGGGGAAGGACUCUGCUCUCAAUAGCAAAAUGGCUCUGGGGUUCUGUGGGACCAGUUUGGGAAACACUGUGAUAGCCGACUCACGAAUAAAGAGCUGAGUGAAAAGGA